GGGCCCGCACAAGCGGUGGAGCAUGUGGCUUAAUUCGAAGCAACGCGAAGAACCUUAUCCUGGGUUUGACAUGCAUGGAUUAGCUUCCUGAAAGGGAAGUGACGCGGCUUGCCGUGGAACAUGCACAGGUGCUGCAUGGCUGUCGUCAGCUCGUGCUGUGAAGUGUCGGGUUAAGUCCCGCAACGAGCGCAACCCUUAUCCUAUGUUGCCAGCACGUUAUGGUGGGGACUCGUGGGAGACUGCCGGUGCAAACCGUGAGGAAGGUGGGGAUGACGUCAAAUCAUCACGGCCCUUACGGGAUGGGCUACACACGUGCUACAAUGGCAGUGACAAUGGGUUAACCCCCAAAACUGUCUCAGUUCGGAUUGGAGUCUGCAACUCGACUCCAUGAAGUCGGAAUCGCUAGUAAUCG
rnacentral:rRNA from 1 species